rnacentral:rRNA from 1 species
AGAGUUUGAUCAUGGCUCAGAACGAACGCUGGCGGCAUGCCUAACACAUGCAAGUCGAACGAGACCUUCGGGUCUAGUGGCGCACGGGUGCGUAACGCGUGGGAAUCUGCCCUUUGCUUCGGAAUAACAGUUAGAAAUGACUGCUAAUACCGGAUGAUGUCUUCGGACCAAAGAUUUAUCGGCAAAGGAUGAGCCCGCGUAGGAUUAGGUAGUUGGUGGGGUAAAGGCCUACCAAGCCGACGAUCCUUAGCUGGUCUGAGAGGAUGAUCAGCCACACUGGGACUGAGACACGGGCCCAGACUCCUACGGGUGGCAGCAGUGGGGAAUAUUGGACAAUGGGCGCAAGCCUGAUCCAGCAAUGCCGCGUGAGUGAUGAAGGCCUUCGGGUCGUAAAGCUCUUUUACCAGGGAUGAUAAUGACAGUACCUGGAGAAUAAGCUCCGGCUAACUCCGUG